rnacentral:tRNA from 1 species
GCCUGCUUAGCUCAGCUGGUUAGAGCGUCCGUCUCAUACGCGGAUUGUCACUAGUUCGAAUCUAGUAGCAGGCA